UCCGUCGUGAGGCGGAAUCUGAAGGAAGCCGCAGGCAAAGUUCUGAGCCGACGAACAGAAAUCGCAUACAAGGCGGGGCAGAGCGGACGAGACUGCAACACAAGUCAAAGUCCCAUACUACCCGGACUCUGCCACGUAAAUGCGGCGGCUACAUGGAAUGAAGGCUAUUGUA
rfam:Faecalibacterium sp. CAG:74 genomic scaffold, scf186